rnacentral:rRNA from 1 species
ACAGGUGCUGCAUGGCUGUCGUCAGUUCGUUCCGUGAGGAGUGCCCUUAAGUGAGACAACGAACGCAACCCCCAUCUUAUGUUACAAGUAUCAUAAGAGACUGCCCGAUCUUUGAUCGGGAGGAAGGAGGGGCAGACGUCAAGUCAGCAUGGUCCUUAUGCCUUGGGCUGCACACAUGUUACAAUGGGAAGAACAAUGAGCUUAGCAAAUCGGCGACGGUAAGCGAAUCUCAUAAAUCUUCUCUCAGUUGGGAUUGAAGGCUGAAACCCGCCUUCAUGAACUCGGAAUUGGUAGUAAUCGCGGGUCAGCUAUACCGCGGUGAAUACGUUCUUGCCUCUUGCACACACCGCCCGUCAAGCCAACAAAGUCGUUGGUAUUCGAACCUCGAUGUAUUUCGGGGGAGAGUACCGAUGGCGAUGAGGGUUAAGUCGUAACAAGGUAGCCG